GAUGAACGCUGGCGGCGUGCCUAAUACAUGCAAGUCGAGCGAACGGACGAGAAGCUUGCUUUUCUGAUGUUAGCGGCGGACGGGUGAGUAACACGUGGAUAACCUACCUAUAAGACUGGGAUAACUUCGGGAAACCGGAGCUAAUACCGGAUAAUAUUUUGAACCGCAUGGUUCAAAAGUGAAAGACGGUCUUGCUGUCACUUAUAGAUGGAUCCGCGCUGCAUUAGCUAGUUGGUAAGGUAACGGCUUACCAAGGCAACGAUGCAUAGCCGACCUGAGAGGGUGAUCGGCCACACUGGAACUGAGACACGGUCCAGACUCCUACGGGAGGCAGCAGUAGGGAAUCUUCCGCAAUGGGCGAGAGCCUGACGGUGCAACGCCGCGUGAGUGAUGAAGGUCUUCGGAUCGUAAAACUCUGUUAUUAGGGAAGAACAUAUGUGUAAGUAACUGUGCACAUCUUGACGGUACCUAAUCAGAAAGCCACGGCUAACUACGUG
rnacentral:rRNA from 1 species